GCUGAGGCCCACCUUUUUCUUGGGACUUUGUGAUGAUGCGUCUGAACAACUCUUUUUGUUUUGUAUUUUAUGUCCCCCGUGGAAUGAUUUUUGCCUAAUCUGUGAGUGAACUUUCAGUGUCACCCCCCCAGGUGUUUUUUGCAGGGGUGUGUGUGUAUAAAGCACUUGACCUUUGACACAGCCCCUCACCUACUCUCCUAUUCUGAAAUCUUUUUCUUUGGCCUUCCAUUCUUUGUUAAUCUGGAUGGUUUCCUUGCUGUUUCUAUUUAGUUCUGUUCUAGUUCUUGUUUUGUUCUGGCUUUUAACAUUUGAUAUGUGAUUCCCCCCCUCCUCCAAACUUACUGUGGAGUAAACGCUUUAGGUGACCCAUGUGACCUCUUCACGGAUGGGAGGUGUAGUCUUUAAGUUCCCUCCUCCGCCAUGUGGCAGGUGUUUGCUCUCUUGCCACCGCACUUCAGGUUCAGCAUCUCUAAGGCUGCUGCCCCGGGCCUCCUGAGGCAGGCCCGAAUUCACUGCAGCACUAAGGGUGAAAGCCAAAGGGUUUAGAAAGAUGAAUGAAGCCGGGUCUCCUGCUGCAGACUUUGUCUCAGAAUCCUAAAAAAAGAAAAAGAAAAAAGAAAAGAAAAAUGAGCAGCGGGGAUCAGGCCAGUAUAGACGAGGACAGUUAUUUUGCAAUUGCAUUUUCUUGACAGAGUUUUGGAAAUAGAAAAAAAAAAAGAGUAUGGCAGCCGUGUCCCGAGGAUGAAGAUUGGUUGCUUUGUGUAUGUGCGUGCGAGUGCGGAGGAAUUUGCAAGAGAAACUGUAAUGGAGACGUUGCUUUGUCAGCCUGGGAAACAGUUGCACUCUUAUUUUUGAACUUUGGAGCCACUGUUGUCCCAGGGCAGAAGGCAGAGUGAGCGCUUACACUUUGGUCACAAUGAGAUAUUUUCUAUAUGACAGAGUUCUCUGAGAGGCUUUUUUACGCUUUGAAACUCGUAUCUUCUGUUAUUACUCAACAGUGUUUCUCUGCUGCAGGCCUAAUCCUUUAUUACAGCUGCGUGGAAAAGGAGUCUCAUCCAACCCAACCGGCGUGGGUGUUUCCAGAGCAUUGUCAUUGGCGGUUUGAAUAAUUGCCGAAUCUUUUCCAAUUAAGAAAAUCUUAAGUACAGUCCUUGGCCUUUUAGAAUUAACAGCAGUAAAUGAGGAAGCCGUUUGCGCAUGCGUCUUUCCAGAUUCACUUGGGUGGCUGAGGAAAGAAGCUGGUUUUGAAAUAAAAUCGGUGCUGUGUAGACAUUUAUAACCAAAAUUAUUUUUAUAACAGACCCAGAAGGAGGAGAGAAAAGACCGUGGACCUUUGAGCCUGCAUGUUAUCCGUCGUGCUUGUUUGUAUGUAACAUUGAUUUCAUCAGAUUGAGUGGAAGCAUAUGGUUGGCAGUUAGGAGGCGAAAAGCUGCCCUCGCUGGUAUACAGAGCGCGCCUUGGGCACGGCAGGGAGAACAUGCCUUUCUAAAGCAGAAAGUCUUUUCGGUUGUGGGGAAGGAAAGGAGUAACACGAGAAAGCCAAACCUAAGCCCAGGGUCCUCCUGUGGGCAGAGCUGCUGAAGCUGUGCUCCAGAGGGAUCUCUUAGUUUGGGUUGUUGAGAUACCCUGGAUUGUUUUAAAUCGGGGGAGUCCACAGUUGCCUGUGUCUGCAGCCCAUUGCCAUAAAUGCACAAGACAGCAGCAGAGCUGAACGCCCCUUGUUCUUAGAGACCCUCUGGUGAAAAUGAAGCCACGUAGCCGAGGGCUGCAGUGCUACCCCGAGAAAAAGAAGGAGCUGUGUGAGGGAACGAAGAGCAGAUGCAGUUCCAACUGGGAUUUUCAGCAAUGUCACCCUACCGGCCCUGCUGGGAGCAGAGAACACUUGGUUGUGCAGUAUUGGUCACCACGGGAGCCUUGCCACCAAUAGCUUUUCCUAACACAUGUGAGUGUGGCUCUCCCUCCGCACUGUAGCUUAGGCCCUGGGCAAGUAGGGCGUGACUCCAGAAUGCUCUGUAGUUUGUAUGUACGAUAAUUUCUGUUUAUGAAUUUCACUUUUCCUUUCAUUUCAUGUAAAACUAAAAUGCAAACAAUCUGCUUUCAAGAAUGCCCAGAAGCUCUGUGUCCCCAACUGUUGUUGUGAACUCUACCAUUUCUCAUAGGUGCUUCCUUAAAAUGUAUGUUUAUUCUAGUGACCGAGAGGGGACUGGACUCUCAGGCCCUUUACAGUUGUCUCCUGCAGUUAAUGGAAAUAUAAAUAUAUAUAUAUAUUUUAUUUUAGAAUAUAAUUUAAACAUGAAGGUCUAUUCUUUGCACUUUUUAUUAAUAUAUAUAGAGAGAGAAUCUUU
rnacentral:lncRNA from 1 species